rnacentral:rRNA from 1 species
UUCUUAGUGGCGGACGGGUUAGUAACACGUGAGAAUCCUACCCUUGAGUGGGGAAUAGCCUUUCGAAAGGAAGAUUAAUGCCCCAUAGUCUCUACGGAGUAAAGAUGCCUUCGGGUGUCGCUUAAGGAUGGGCUCGCGGCCUAUCAGCUAGUUGGUGAGGUAAGAGCUCACCAAGGCAACGACGGGUAGCUGGUCUGAGAGGACGAUCAGCAACACUGGAACUGAGACACGGUCCAGACACCUACGGGUGGCAGCAGUCGAGAAUCAUUCACAAUGGACGAAAGUCUGAUGGUGCAACGCCGCGUGGAGGAUGACGGCCCUAGGGUUGUAAACUCCUGUCAUCAGGGAGUAAGACUUAUUCGUUAAUAGCGUGUAAGUUUGAUAGUACCUGAAGAGGAAGGGACGGCUAACUUCGUGCCAGCAGCCGCGGUAAUACGAAGGUCCCAAGCGUUGUUCGGAAUAACUGGGCGUAAAGCGUGUGUAGGCCGCGCGGAAAGUCGGAUGUGAAAGCCCA